rnacentral:rRNA from 1 species
GACGAACGCUGGCGGCGUGCUUAACACAUGCAAGUCGAGCGAUGAAGUUUCUUCGGAAAUGGAUUAGCGGCGAACGGGUGAGGAACACGUGAAGAAUCUGCCCUCCGCUUUGGGAUAACACAGGGAAACCUGUGCUAAUACCGAAUAUUGAAACAUAAGUGGCAUCACUGAGUUUUGAAAGAAUUUCGGUGGAGGAUGACUUCGCGGCCUAUCAGCUAGUUGGUGAGGUAAUGGCUCACCAAGGCAACGACGGGUAGCCGGCCUGAGAGGGCGACCGGCCACACUGGGACUGAGACACGGCCCAAACUCCUACGGGAGGCAGCAGUGGGGAAUAUUGGGCAAUGGAGGAAACUCUGACCCAGCGACGCCGCGUGCGGGAUGAAGGCCUUCGGGUUGUAAACCGCUUUCAGUAGGGAAGAAGCGAAAGUGACGGUACCUACAAAAGAAGCACCGGCUAACUAUGUGCCAGCCGCCGCAGUAACAC